AAUGCACCAAUUUGUAAGUCGCUCUGGAUAAGAGCGUCUUCUAAAUGACUUAAA
rfam:Salmo salar isolate Sally breed double haploid chromosome ssa13, whole genome shotgun sequence.